rnacentral:tRNA from 1 species
GCCCUCGUAGCUCAGUGGAUAGAGCACAGGAUUCCUAAUCCUGGUGCCGUAGGUCCGAUUCCUACCGGGGGCACCA